rnacentral:rRNA from 1 species
UAUGCGAAAAACAAACCUUAGCUAGCAGUAUCCUGAGUAGGGCGGGACACGAGGAAUCCUGUCUGAAUCCGGGUCGACCACGAUCCAACCCUAAAUACUAAUACCAGAUCGAUAGUGCACAAGUACCGUGAGGGAAAGGUGAAAAGAACUGAGGUGAUCAGAGUGAAAUAGAACCUGAAACCAUUUGCUUACAAUCAUUCAGAGCCCUAUGUAGCAAUACAGGGUGAUGGACUGCCUUUUGCAUAAUGAGCCUGCGAGUUGUGGUGUCUGGCAAGGUUAAGCAAACGCGAAGCCGUAGCGAAAGCGAGUCUGAAUAGGGCGCUUAGUCAGAUGCUGCAGACCCGAAACGAAGUGAUCUAUCCAUGAGCAAGUUGAAGCUAGUGUAAGAACUAGUGGAGGACUGAACCCAUAGGCGUUGAAAAGCCCCGGGAUGACUUGUGGAUAGGGGUGAAAGGCCAAUCAAACUUCGUGAUAGCUGGUUCUCUCCGAAAUAUAUUUAGGUAUAGCGUUGUGUCGUAAUAUAAGGGGGUAGAGCACUGAAUGGGCUAGGGCAUACACCAAUGUACCAAACCCUAUCAAACUCCGAAUACCUUAUAUGUAAUCACAGCAGUCAGGCGGCGAGUGAUAAAAUCCGUCGUCAAGAGGGAAACAACCCAGACUACCAGCUAAGGUCCCUAAAUCUUACUUAAGUGGAAAACGAUGUGAAGUUACUUAAACAACCAGGAGGUUGGCUUAGAAGCAGCCAUCCUUUAAAGAAAGCGUAAUAGCUCACUGGUCUAGUGAUUUUGCGCGGAAAAUAUAACGGGGCUAAAGUAAGUACCGAAGCUGUAGACUUGCACACAACUUAGAUUAUUUAAGUUUAGAAUAUUAAGAAACUAAGUUAUAUGUUUUAGUUAUAUUUUUACUGAUUUUUAUAGGGUAAAGAUAGAAAUAAAACUUAGUAAAAUCAGUAAAAAUAUUCUUAGGCUAAAGUUAAGUAGUUUAAGUUGUGUGCAAGUGGUAGGAGAGCGUUCUAUUUGCGCCGAAGGUAUACCGGUAAGGAGUGCUGGAGCGAAUAGAAGUGAGCAUGCAGGCAUGAGUAGCGAUAAUUAAUGUGAGAAUCAUUAACGCCGUAAACCCAAGGUUUCCUACGCGAUGCUCGUCAUCGUAGGGUUAGUCGGGUCCUAAGCCGAGUCCGAAAGGGGUAGGCGAUGGCAAAUUGGUUAAUAUUCCAAUACCAACAUUAGUGUGCGAUGGAAGGACGCUUAGGGCUAAGGGGGCUAGCGGAUGGAAGUGCUAGUCUAAGGUCGUAGGAGGUUAUACAGGCAAAUCCGUAUAACAAUACUCCGAGAACUGAAAGGCUUUUUGAAGUCUUCGGAUGGAUAGAAGAACCCCUGAUGCCGUCGAGCCAAGAAAAGUUUCUAAGUUUAGCUAAUGUUGCCCGUACCGUAAACCGACACAGGUGGGUGGGAUGAGUAUUCUAAGGCGCGUGGAAGAACUCUCUUUAAGGAACUCUGCAAAAUAGCACCGUAUCUUCGGUAUAAGGUGUGGUUCGCUUCGUACUAGGAUUUACUCCGAAAGCGAAGAAACUUACAACAAAGAGUCCCUCCCGACUGUUUACCAAAAACACAGCACUCUGCUAACUCGUAAGAGGAUGUAUAGGGUGUGACGCCUGCCCGGUGCUCGAAGGUUAAUUGAUGGGGUUAGCAUUAGCGAAGCUCUUGAUCGAAGCCCGAGUAAACGGCGGCCGUAACUAUAACGGUCCUAAGGUAGCGAAAUUCCUUGUCGGUUAAAUACCGACCUGCAUGAAUGGCGUAACGAGAUGGGAGCUGUCUCAAAGAGGGAUCCAGUGAAAUUGUAGUGGAGGUGAAAAUUCCUCCUACCCGCGGCAAGACGGAAAGACCCCGUGGACCUUUACUACAGCUUGACACUGCUACUUGGAUAAGAAUGUGCAGGAUAGGUGGGAGGCUUUGAGUAUAUGACGCCAGUUGUAUAUGAGCCAUUGUUGAGAUACCACUCUUUCUUAUUUGGGUAGCUAACCAGCUUGAGUUAUCCUCAAGUGGGACAAUGUCUGGUGGGUAGUUUGACUGGGGCGGUCGCCUCCCAAAUAAUAACGGAGGCUUACAAAGGUUGGCUCAGAACGGUUGGAAAUCGUUCGUAGAGUAUAAAGGUAUAAGCCAGCUUAACUGCAAGACAUACAAGUCAAGCAGAGACGAAAGUCGGUCUUAGUGAUCCGGUGGUUCUGUGUGGAAGGGCCAUCGCUCAAAGGAUAAAAGGUA